GCGCCUGGAGCUUAGCAGGAUAGACACCGGCUUUCUAAGCCGGUGGUCAGAGAUUCAAAUUCUCUAGGGCGCG
rnacentral:tRNA from 1 species